AUGGAAGCCAGGCCCCCACCAGUGCAGCAGGCCCUCCAGGGGCCAGGUGGGUGGCCCCAGACAACCAAGGAGGGCCCCACGGUCUCCCACACCUUCCACCAGGCCCUGACCCCAGGGGUCGACACAGGCACCCAGGCCCUGGCACGGUCCCCAACUGACCCUCUCAUCACCCCAGCCCAACCUGUCCCACGGACCCGGUCCCCAGAGUGCAGCAGAAAGGCCGAGGCUGAGCCCGAGGCUCCCAUGGCCCAGCCCCCAUCUCUGCACCACACAGCCACCCGUCCCUCCCUCCCGCCACUUCCAGCCUCUGGGGAGACUGAGGCUCCCCUGCCGACUCUUGGGCCAUCCCUAUCAGAGGACACCACCCCUGUGCCCGGCACUGCCACAGUCUCAGUGCCUUCCACCAGCAGCACCCAGAUGCGAGCCAGAGAGCCAGAAAGGACGGUGGAUGCCAGUUGCAGAGAGCGUGGCAACCACACCAGCCCUCCCGGCCUCUACCUCCCUCGGCCUCCCCUGCAGGGCGUAUGGCUCCAGGGACAGGCCACCUUCACUUGCCUAGAGGUGAGGACUGACCUGCAGGAGGCCCGUUUGUCCUGGGAGCUGGCCGGGACACCCCUUCACGAAGGUGUGGACAACGGGCUGCUGACAGAACAUGCCAAUGGUUCCCAGAGCUGGACUAGCCACCUGGACCUGCCUGUGUCAUCCUGGGCCUUGGGGGCCAACGUCACCUGUACCCUGAGCUCCCCAGGUGUACCCUCCCAUGUGGUGUCUGCAGCUCCCAGGGAACACGCUGCCUCUGUGCCCAGCAGCCUCACAGUCUGCAUCCUGUGUCCAGAGCGGCCUCCUGGAUCCUGUGCAAGGCGUCUGGCGUCUCGCCCCCGGACAUCCUCCUCACCUGGCUGAAGAACCAGGACCAGGUGGACCCUGGUUUGUUUUCCACCGUGUCCCCCGUGGCUGAGCCUGGGAACAGCACCUUCGAGACUUGGAGUGUCCUGUGUGUCCGCAUGGCCCAGGCCCCUCACCUGGACACCUACACAUGUGCCUCCCGGAGUUUGCUCAGUGCCAGCUGGAGCCCAGACACAGCCAGUGAGUCACACAUGGGCAUGGGUCAGGGCUGGGGGCCAGCCCCCGAGGAGCUGAAGGGCUGGGUCCUGGGGCUGCAGCCACGGGUCUGUGCCACCCAGCCAGGAUGGCCUUACCCCAACCUGCUCGACCUCGUGCUGGACUAG